UGGCACGGGUUUCACAACAGUCUCAAGUGUUCUCAAAGUCAUCCGAAGAGUGGUGUAAGGACAAUGGUUCAAUCACUUUGCCUUCAACACAAACAACGCUUCAACCUUCUGCACACUCAUGGGAAAUGGGCAGAGCCAAUGAUGAUGGACAGUCCAAUCUUCCAACCAGACACCCUUAAGAAGGACAUGUCUCUGGCCCACUACCUUUGGCCCAGCCAGAGCUGAAGCGGACGGAGGAAUGCAGCUCGAGCGCCGGCGUGUCAGAUCGACUGAACGUCAGCACGUUAGGACCCGGCUCACUGGUGCCGUCAGUCAGACAUGGAUCUAACAGACAUGGAUCAUAGAUAGUCCUGCCAGUUACAAAAGACCUUUGGGGCCGAUAGAAAGACAUUGACUUGGAAGUGGCCCCUAAAAUGCCAGACAUGGAGGCAUUUUGGAUUCGGAUCAAUGGCAUAAUCUGGUGCCUCGGAGACUGUGAACUUCCUCUUGCUUGUACGGGUCAAAGGGGAAACAACAGGCAAUGGUUCAAACUUAAUGUUAUUGCGGCUACAAUGGAGGAAAUGUGAUUCCUUUCCAUCGGCUACUAAAAUUUGCUGGAUUCUGUGGGCGGAAACUAAAAGGGGGUUCAGGGUUUUAACUUCACCUCUUUCACGCUCAUGGCUUUAAUUGGGAUGUGUGUGGUCUGACACAAAUACUGCGUGGGUGACGAGAAGCGAAAAGUAUGAUACCACCUUCCCACAAACACACUAAGAGAUGGUGUGAAAGAGAGAGAGUAUGUAUUGUAGCAGGCUGCAGGCACUCCUGUGAACGGUGAGUCUCAUAAAUCCAGCUGUGUGUGAUUUGUGCCAUAGCAUUGUUAUGAAACUCACUUCAUGGUAAUAGAGGACGGCGUGGAAAAAACUACACAGAAAUCAAACAUAUCCAUCAAAUUAACACAUCAAUGGCUUGAUUGUAAUCUCCCCCGGCCCUGUACCGCAAACACUUGCUCUGCCACCACCGGGUACAGAGCCUUGAUUUAUCAAUGCAAAGCUAAUAGCAUCAAUAUGAAUCUAACUAAAAAUCAAUAUUUCAUUACUAAAUUGUUGGAGGGAAUGAAGAGGGAUGAGAGGGGUGGGAUAGUUCUCCUGGGUGAGAGCAUCUGGAGUUCACCGUGACAUGAUGAGUGAUGCGUGACUCUGGGUCGCCGGGAGAGGACAAGGAGAGGACAGCAGGCCUGAGCCUUAUGACGGCCAUGCUGCUGCGUCUCCAACUCUGUGGCUCAUCUUUUGUUGUCUCUGCCUUUCUUCAUGUUUAUUUCAUUUCAUUCUUCAUGCCUUCAUUUCAUUUUUCCGUUUUGCUUAAUUUACUGACACUUUUAAAAAAGUUUAAAUUAGCAUUUCAGGAUGUUUAUCAGUUUUUGUGUGCCCUGGGAAUCAAACCUGUGACCUCAGCAUCACCUGCGCAGCGUUCGACAAGUUGAGUUUACAUGAACACCAGGUUGUGUUGUCUUUUCCUUCCUUUUUCUGCACUUGACAACAUGAUCAUUAGUAUUUUUAGGGUUUCUUAGAUGAAGUGUGAAUGUAGCACACAUAUAUUUUCAUAUUGUAUAGAAACUGAACUGUUUUAAUUAUUUCUGUCAUAAAUUGUUUUACUUAAAUAUCAAUGCCAACAAAUUUAGCCAAUGCAUUUACCUACAAAAUAUACUGUAACUCACACCCACAGUAAAUGAGUAAAACACAAGUGACAACUAUUUUUAGCCAUACAAUGCGCAUAUACUGUAACAGUACUUUUUCUAGUCCGACUGGAUUUAAUUAAUAAAUAAAUUAAAUAUAAAUAUAAAACGUGUCCUUGACAGGAUUUCAAAGAUUUAAAGUAUUCAUAAAAUAUUUGUUUAAUGAUUUACAUUUCAGAUGCAUUUAAUUUGAUUUAAUUAAUUUACAGUUCAAACAGUCUAAAUUGUAUUUGUACAUUCUUAUUUAUGCCCACAAAUAACAAUAUAAUAACAGAAAUGAGAUAUUUCUGUGUUAAAUUAUGUGUAAAUACAGUAUACUACUCUUCUCUAUAAACAUCUAUAAUGAUUACACCUCUGUGUUUCUUUUCCCUCUAUGGAACUGUCUGUUUUGUAGCCACGUGUCGAUACUAAAAGAUCUGAGACCAACAGAACUCUCCUUUCCAUUUUCCAUUUAUCGCUAACCAUCAGACACUCCGAUACACACACGAUUAGCCACAGUGUACGAAAUCGUAGGCAGAAGAGUCUUCGCCCUUCGCUGCCUCCGUACAAAGUCUGUUUUGCCAUUCCUCCACUCUUCAAACGCCAAACAUUUAGACUAUUUACCAUUUAAAUGAUCGGCGUUAUUUAUCUAGCAGCCUGUGAGAGUGCUUUCGACAUGCACAGAUUGACAUGCCUAUGUUUUUAAUGCCUCGGGGCAAACCCUCUAGAGCUUAAAACCAACAGACUUUCUGCUAGUGCGGAAAAAAUACCAUUUGAUCUCCGAAGGAGCAGCAGCCGCGCUAAUGAUGAUAUGCCAGCGCUAGCUAACUUUUAACAGAGAGGAAAGAGGGAAUGUAGAAAAAACGCAAAGUAUGACAACUCCCAAAGGUGAGAUCUGUGCCAAUGGUUUGUUUGCACUUCCUUCAGGGCUUCAAGAAUUCGUUUAUUUUUCCUGAUACAUUUCCAUCCUAUUAAUUCAUCUCUUUUUUAGGGUCAAGUUUGCGCUAAUAUCUCCAAAAUAAAUGUCCCAAUAGAGGGGUGAAUAUGUGGAGAGCUUGGAAUUUUAAGAGACAGCUGUAGGAGAAAGAGAGGAUGUGAUGUCAAGGUAUCCCAGUCGAGAUGUUAGCUCAGCAGAGCUGUGAUCGGUAUUGUAUCACACGGGCUACGCCAGAGACGAGCCAAGCCCCAUGCCGACUGCCGUAAUUAUUAGCUGCAAACGGCCUCAGCUUGAGCACUAUUAGAGCGGAUUAACAAACGUUCCAGCCAUAAUUAUCAAAGGUGCAAAAGCAGGUGUUUAGGAACCGAAUUAACGGAGGAGGAACCAGGAGCUGCUGGGAGCAAAUCAGAGGAGAGCGUAAAACAUCAGUUUGAAGGGGGGUGGGAGGGAAUAAACUUCAUUAAAAAUCAGCAAAUUUGUUUUCAGACUUUUUGUCUGAUUUUCAAAUCGCCGGGACCUGCUCUACCGUCGCCACUUUUAACACGUGAUUAAACAGCACAGAGGAAGAGGGAAUCUGUUGGAGAGGAAUCGUCUGGGGAGAGCUUCCGUGUUUCGAGGCAGAUGUUUGUUCAUAGGCGGACUGGAGAAGUGUGGCCGUUUCCCCAAGGAGAGCCAGGAAGUGUCGGUCCCAGAGGAAAUAACCAGAACGACAGUUCUAGUGACUACAAAAUGCUCUUUCUUUGAAGAAAGAGUCAGAUACAUACUUUUGACUUCAUGACGGGAGGACAAUUUCAUCUGGAGCUGAUGGACUAUUCCACAGAGACGGGAAAUCUUCAGCGGCUGUAUCUCUGAUGAGUAUCAGCUAUUAGCUGUUCUCUGCUGGAUAUUCUCCUGGGCUCUGCUUCUGCUGAGCGCUGGGCUGCUCCGCUCUUUCCUUAUCAUGCCUGUCCACCUGUCACACUUGGCCUUCUGUCCACUCCCCGCUGCGAAAGUGAGAUUCGCAUUGGUCUUUGGUGUCCUAUCCAAUCUCUUUUGUUCUCUUGUGCUCUCCUGAUUUGACUGGAUUGUGGAAGAAAGAUGAUUGUGUAGCCUCAGGUAAGAUUUUGUAGCUUUACAUAUCAAAGUCACUAAAUAUAUUUUUCUCUCACACACAGGCUAAGGAGGGGGGAUUGUCGAGGGGGGAAAGUUCCAAGCCAAGUUUUUAUGGAGGAUUGUUUGCUUUAGCGCAUGAGAAGAACAAAUCCAGCGAAACAAAAGGGAUUACGGAGCAGUGUCGCUGUUGUGUUAUUUAUCUAUUCUGCUUUUUUCCAGGGCGAUGUGUCAAUGUCAUGAGACUCUACUUGCAGAAUGCUCGGUAAACAUGGGAAGCUAAACAAGGUGUUUGUAAAUGACAGAAAAUGGGGCUGAUCUCUCAACUCUUCCUCUUUGUGUGCUACAUCAGUAUCUUUCUUUCUCUCGCUGAGGAAAUGCAUACUGCAGUCGCUGUGAUUUAUCAUCUAUACAUAAUGUAAUACCGCAUGAGCUUCAAUGGCUCAAUCAGUUAUGUUAUUUCAAGAUUAAACUAUUAACUACUGAGCGCUCAAAUCUAAUAAAAUAUCUAUAGCACACUGGAUUAAUAUUCUAUAUUCAGAAUCAAUCUGCAAACUAAGUUCUCUGAA